rnacentral:rRNA from 1 species
UACGUAGGUGGCAAGCGUUGUCCGGAUUUAUUGGGUUUAAAGGGUGCGUAGGCGGUUCCAUAAGUCAGUGGUGAAAUACGGCAGCUUAACUGUCGAGGUGCCAUUGAUACUGCGGAACUUGAGUACUGAUGAGGUAGGCGGAAUUGACGGUGUAGCGGUGAAAUGCUUAGAUAUCGUCAAGAACACCGAUAGCGAAGGCAGCUUACCAAGCAGUAACUGACGCUGAGGCACGAAAGUGCGGGGAUCAAACAGG